ACAACAAUGCAAGCCACUGUCCAUCCAGACCUCAGAGAGCCACAGAUGCUGUUGACAAAGAAUUGUUGCCCUCCUUAUACUGCAGAGGAAGUGGCUGGGUCAGGCUGGGCAUUUACUCACUUGAGUAAUACAGAGAACCAAAUGGAGUGAUAGGAAGAGAAGACAGCAUUUUCCCGAUGUUGAGGCUCCAAAUGAACAUCUGUCCAUUUUCUGAUGAGUUGGUGGACUCCGGACUCUGGCGAGGAAGCCAGUUUUUCCUCUGGAGCAAAAGUCUCACUGCCACCCAGAAUGCAUGUGAUCAACUCCUUUCCACAUCAGCCUUUUUGUACAAGGAAACAAUUUCUGUGUUUCUCUAGAUAAAAAUAUAAUUUGAAAGCCAUAGCUUCUGUAUAAAUUAUUGCAACUUCAUUUUCAACAGCUCACUAUUGGCUUCCAUUUAUUUGAAGUGAACGACGAUGUCCCUCUAUUUGAAAAGACCUUUCUUCCACACCUAUCCUUCCUUCAACCUGCUGUUGGAAUCAGGUCCCUUAACUACAGAGAAUUCAAUGGUACCCCAAUCCCAUACACGUCAAACUUUGAUUAAAGAAUGUCUUACUCUGACCAAGGAUCUCAGAGCCCCCAGAUGAACCUCAAGACAUGGUUGGCCAUUUUUCUUUACCAUUUGUGGGAUAAAAAAGCUGAAAA
rnacentral:lncRNA from 10 species